CCAUGCAGUCGACGGCAGCGCGAGAGAGCUUGCUCUCUUGGCGGCGAGUGGCGGACGGGUGAGUAAUAUAUCGGAACGUGCCCAGUAGCGGGGGAUAACUACUCGAAAGAGUGGCUAAUACCGCAUACGCCCUACAGGGGAAAGGGGGGGAUCGCAAGACCUCUCACUAUUGGAUCGGCCGAUAUCGGAUUAUCUAGUUGGUGGGGUAAAGGCUCACCAAGGCCACGAUCCGUAGCUGGUUUGAGAGGACGACCAGCCACACUGGGACUGAGACACGGCCCACACUCCUACGGGAGGCAGCAGUGGGGAAUUUUGGACAAUGGGGGAAACCCUGAUCCAGCCAUCCCGCGUGUAUGAUGAAGGCCUUCGGGUUGUAAAGUACUUUUGGCAGAGAAGAAAGUGUAUCUCCUAAUACGAGAUACUGCUGACGGUAUCUGCAGAAUAAGCACCGGCUAACUACGUGCCAGCAGCCGCGGUAAUACGUAGGGUGCAAGCGUUAAUCGGAAUUACUGGGCGUAAAGCGUGUGUAGGCGGUUCGGAAAGAAAGAUGUGAAAUCCCAGGGCUCAACCUUGGAACUGCAUUUUUAACUGCCGAGCUAGAGUAUGUCAGAGGGGGGUAGAAUUCCACGUGUAGCAGUGAAAUGCGUAGAUAUGUGGAGGAAUACCGAUGGCGAANGCAGCCCCCUGGGAUAAUACUGACGCUCAUACACGAAAGCGUGGGGAGCAAACAGGAUUAGAUACCCUGGUAGUCCACGCCCUACACGAUGUCAACUAACUUUUGGGGCCGUUAGGCCUUAUUAUCGCAACUAACGCGUGAAUUUCACCGCCUGGGGAGUACGGUCGCAAGAUUAAAACUCAAAGGAAUUGACGGGGACCCGCNNAAGCGGUGGAUGAUGUGGAUUAAUUCGAUGCAACGCGAAAAACCUUACCUACCCUUGACUGUCUGAAAAUUCCAAAAAAUUUGUCCGUGCUCCCAAGAAACCCGAAAAAAGGUGCUGCAGGCUGUCCUCACCUCGUGU
rnacentral:rRNA from 1 species